rnacentral:rRNA from 1 species
GAUGGCGCGUGCUUACUAUGCAGUCGAACGCUGAAGCCUGGUGCUUGCACCGGGUGGAUGAGUGGCGAACGGGUGAGUAACACGUGAGUAACCUGCCCCUGACUUCGGGAUAAGCCCGGGAAACUGGGUCUAAUACCGGAUACGACUGCCGGACGCAUGUCUGGUGGUGGAAAGUUUUUUCGGUUGGGGAUGGGCUCGCGGCCUAUCAGUUUGUUGGUGAGGUAAUGGCUCACCAAGACGACGACGGGUAGCCGGCCUGAGAGGGCGACCGGCCACACUGGGACUGAGACACGGCCCAGACUCCUACGGGAGGCAGCAGUGGGGAAUAUUGCACAAUGGGGGAAACCCUGAUGCAGCGACGCAGCGUGCGGGAUGACGGCCUUCGGGUUGUAAACCGCUUUCAGCAGGGAAGAAGCGCAAGUGACGGUACCUGCAGAAGAAGUACCGGCUAACUACGUGCCAGCAGCCGCGGUAAUACGUAGGGUACGAGCGUUGUCCGGAAUUAUUGGGCGUAAAGAGCUCGUAGGUGGUUGGUCACGUCUGCUGUGGAAACGCAACGCUUAACGUUGCGCGUGCAGUGGGUACGGGCUGACUAGAGUGCAGUAGGGGAGUCUGGAAUUCCUGGUGUAGCGGUGAAAUGCGCAGAUAUCAGGAGGAACACCGGUGGCGAAGGCGGGACUCUGGGCUGUAACUGACACUGAGGAGCGAAAGCAUGGGGAGCGAACAGGAUUAGAUACCCUGGUAGUCCAUGCCGUAAACGUUGGGCACUAGGUGUGGGGGGCAUUCCACGUUCUCCGCGCCGUAGCUAACGCAUUAAGUGCCCCGCCUGGGGAGUACGGUCGCAAGGCUAAAACUCAAAGGAAUUGACGGGGGCCCGCACAAGCGGCGGAGCAUGCGGAUUAAUUCGAUGCAACGCGAAGAACCUUACCAAGGCUUGACAUACACCGGACCGUCCUGGAAACAGGUCCUCUUCUUUGAAGCUGGUGUACAGGUGGUGCAUGGUUGUCGUCAGCUCGUGUCGUGAGAUGUUGGGUUAAGUCCCGCAACGAGCGCAACCCUCGUUCUAUGUUGCCAGCAUGUGAUGGUGGGAACUCAUAGGAGACUGCCGGGGUCAACUCGGAGGAAGGUGGGGAUGACGUCAAAUCAUCAUGCCCUUUAUGUCUUGGGCUUCACGCAUGCUACAAUGGCUGGUACAGAGAGAGGCGAACCCGUGAGGGCAAGCGAAUCCCUUAAAGCCAGUCUCAGUUCGGAUCGUAGUCUGCAAUUCGACUACGUGAAGUCGGAGUCGCUAGUAAUCGCAGAUCAGCAACGCUGCGGUGAAUACGUUCCCGGGCCUUGUACACACCGCCCGUCAAGUCACGAAAGUCGGUAACACCCGAAGCCGGUGGCCUAACCGUAAGGAGGGGGCCGUCUAAGGUGGGACUGGUGAUUGGGACUAAGUCGAACAAGUGUAUCC